ACUCCUACGGGAGGCAGCAGUGGGGAAUUUUGGACAAUGGGCGAAAGCCUGAUCCAGCAAUGCCGCGUGAGUGAAGAAGGCCUUCGGGUUGUAAAGCUCUUUUGUCAGGGAAGAAACGGUGAAAGCUAAUAUCUUUUGCUAAUGACGGUACCUGAAGAAUAAGCACCGGCUAACUACGUGCCAGCAGCCGCGGUAAUACGUAGGGUGCAAGCGUUAAUCGGAAUUACUGGGCGUAAAGCGUGCGCAGGCGGUUUUGUAAGUCUGAUGUGAAAUCCCCGGGCUCAACCUGGGAAUUGCAUUGGAGACUGCAAGGCUAGAAUCUGGCAGAGGGGGGUAGAAUUCCACGUGUAGCAGUGAAAUGCGUAGAUAUGUGGAGGAACACCGAUGGCGAAGGCAGCCCCCUGGGUCAAGAUUGACGCUCAUGCACGAAAGCGUGGGGAGCAAACAGGAUUAGAAACCCUAGUAGUCCCAUGA
rnacentral:rRNA from 1 species